ensembl:lncRNA
AGUGUAUAGUGUAGAGUGUAUAGUGUAUAGUGUAUAGUGUAGAGUGUAUAGUGUAGAGUGUAUAGUGUAUAGUGUAUAGUGUAGAGUGUAUAGUGUAGAGUGUAGAGUGUAUAGUGUAGAGUGUAUAGUGUAGAGUGUAUAGUGUAGAGUGUAUAGUGUAUAGUGUAGAGUGUAUAGUGUAGAGUGUAUAGUGUAGAGUGUAUAGUGUAGAGUGUAUAGUGUAUAGUGUAUAGUGUAGAGUGUAUAGUGUAUAGUGUAGAGUGUAUAGUGUAGAGUGUAUAGUGUAGAGUGUAUAGUGUAGAGUGUAUAGUGUAUAGUGUAGAGUGUAUAGUGUAUAGUGUAGAGUGUAUAGUGUAUAGUGUAUAGUGUAUAGUGUAUAGUGUAGAGUGUAUAGUGUAUAGUGUAGAGUGUAUAGUGUAUAGUGUAGAGUGUAUAGUGUAGAGUGUAUAGUGUAGAGUGUAUAGUGUAGA